AGAGAAAGAUGAACUAAGUAUAGCUGCUAACUAAUACUUAUAACGGUUAAAUUCCGUUUUUCUCUU
rnacentral:tRNA from 1 species